rnacentral:tRNA from 1 species
GACUUUUUAACUAAUAUAAGUUAUAUAUUUGGAAAAUAUCCNACAAAGAGAAUCCCUCUAUUAGUCCU